UACGGAGGGUGCAAGCGUUGUCCGGAUUUACUGGGUUUAAAGGGUGCGUAGGCGGACAGGUAAGUCCGUGGUGAAAUCUCUGAGCUUAACUCAGAAACUGCCAUGGAUACUAUUUGUCUUGAAUACUGUGGAGGUAAGCGGAAUAUGUCAUGUAGCGGUGAAAUGCUUAGAUAUGACAUAGAACACCGAUUGCGAAGGCAGCUCGCUACACCUGCAUUGACUCUGAGGCACGAAAGCGUGGGGAUCAAACAGG
rnacentral:rRNA from 1 species